rnacentral:rRNA from 1 species
UACAGAGGGGGCAAGCGUUGUUCGGAAUUACUGGGCGUAAAGGGCGCGUAGGCGGCCUGUUAAGUCGAACGUGAAAUCCCCGGGCUCAACCCGGGAACUGCGUCCGAUACUGGCAGGCUUGAAUCCGGGAGAGGGAUGUGGAAUUCCAGGUGUAGCGGUGAAAUGCGUAGAUAUCUGGAGGAACACCGGUGGCGAAGGCGGCAUCCUGGACCGGUAUUGACGCUGAGACGCGAAAGCGUGGGGAGCAAACAGG